UGGGGAAUUUUGGACAAUGGGCGAAAGCCUGAUCCAGCAAUGCCGCGUGUGUGAAGAAGGCCUUCGGGUUGUAAAGCACUUUUGUCCGGAAAGAAAUCCUUGGCUCUAAUACAGUCGGGGGAUGACGGUACCGGAAGAAUAAGCACCGGCUAACUACGUGCCAGCAGCCGCGGUAAUACGUAGGGUGCAAGCGUUAAUCGGAAUUACUGGGCGUAAAGCGUGCGCAGGCGGUUUGCUAAGACCGAUGUGAAAUCCCCGGGCUCAACCUGGGAACUGCAUUGGUGACUGGCAGGCUGGAGUAUGGCAGAGGGGGGUAGAAUUCCACGUGUAGCAGUGAAAUGCGUAGAGAUGUGGAGGAAUACCGAUGGCGAAGGCAGCCCCCUGGGCCAAUACUGACGCUCAUGCACGAAAAGGCGUGGGGGAGCAAAUCAGGAUUAGAUACCCUGGUAGUCCACGCCCUAAACGAUGUCAACUAGUUGUGGGGAUUCAUUUCCUUAGUAACGUAGCUAACGCGUGAAGUUGACCGCCUGGGGAGUACGGUCGC
rnacentral:rRNA from 1 species